ACCUGACUGGCUCAAUCAGUAGAGCGUGCAACUCUUGAUCCUGGGUUUGUGAGUUCGAGCCCCAUGUUGGGUG
rnacentral:tRNA from 1 species